rnacentral:rRNA from 1 species
CAUCCAGCGAAGCCUUUAGAGAUAGAGGUGGGCCUUCGGGAGCGCUGAGACAGGUGCUGCAUGGCUGUCGUCAGCUGGGGGUGUGGAAUGUGGGGUUAAGUCCCGCAACGAGCGCAACCCUUAUCCUUGUUUGCCAGCACGUAAUGGUGGGAACUCCAGGGAGACUGCCGGUGAUAAACCGGAGGAAGGUGGGGACGACGUCAAGUCAUCAUGGCCCUUACGAGUAGGGCUACACACGUGCUACAAUGGCAGAUACAGAGGGCAGCGAGACAGCGAUGUUUAGCGAAUCCCUUAAAGUUUGUCGUAGUCCGGAUUGGAGUCUGCAACUCGACUCCAUGAAGUCGGAAUCGCUAGUAAUCGUGGAUCAGAGUGCCACGGUGAAUACGUUCCCGGGCCUUGUACACACCGCCCGUCACACCAUGGGAGUGGGCUGCACCAGAAGUAGAUAGCUUAACCUUCGGGAGGGCGUUUACCACGGUGUGGUUCAUGACU